rnacentral:rRNA from 1 species
GACGAACGCUGGCGGCGUGCCUAAUACAUGCAAGUAGAACGCUGAAGGAGGAGCUUGCUUCUCUGGAUGAGUUGCGAACGGGUGAGUAACGCGUAGGUAACCUGCCUGGUAGCGGGGGAUAACUAUUGGAAACGAUAGCUAAUACCGCAUAAUAGCAGUUGUUGCAUGACAACUGUUUGAAAGGUGCAAUUGCACCACUACCAGAUGGACCUGCGUUGUAUUAGCUAGUUGGUGGGGUAACGGCUCACCAAGGCGACGAUACAUAGCCGACCUGAGAGGGUGAUCGGCCACACUGGGACUGAGACACGGCCCAGACUCCUACGGGAGGCAGCAGUAGGGAAUCUUCGGCAAUGGACGGAAGUCUGACCGAGCAACGCCGCGUGAGUGAAGAAGGUUUUCGGAUCGUAAAGCUCUGUUGUAAGAGAAGAACGAGUGUGAGAGUGGAGAGUUCACACUGUGACGGUAUCUUACCAGAAAGGGACGGCUAACUACGUG